rnacentral:rRNA from 1 species
GAUGCUAAUACCGGAUAACAACAGAUGAUGCCUAUCAACUGUUUAAAAGAUGGUUCUGCUAUCACUCUUGGAUGGACCUGCGGUGCAUUAGCUAGUUGGUAGGGUAACGGCCUACCAAGGCGACGAUGCAUAGCCGAGUUGAGAGACUGAUCGGCCACAUUGGGACUGAGACACGGCCCAAACUCCUACGGGAGGCAGCAGAC